UACGGGGGGAGCAAGCGUUGUUCGGAUUUACUGGGCGUAAAGGGCGCGUAGGCGGCCACCGCAAGUCGGUUGUGAAAUCUCUGGGCUUAACCCAGAAAGGUCAACCGAUACUGCGGGGCUAGAGUGCAGAAGGGGCAACUGGAAUUCUCGGUGUGGCGGUGAAAUGCGUAGAUAUCGAGAGGAACACCUGCGGCGAAGGCGGGUUGCUGGGCUGACACUGACGCUGAAGCGCGAAAGCUAGGGGAGCGAACGGG
rnacentral:rRNA from 1 species